AGUGAGCUGGUGUAGAGGCACGAAAAGUUUUGGUCUUUUAAGAAUUUUAUCAUUAGAAUGCUUACUU
rnacentral:tRNA from 2 species